ensembl:lncRNA
UCUCUGUGAUGUGAAGACAAAAGAAGCAAGUUGCUGGGGAGAGGGAGAGAACUCGUUAGAAAGUGGCUGAUGUAGCUGGAAGAUAUCAGCCAGGUUUUGGCACACAAUCCUUUCUUCACAUCUUCAGCUCAUCAGUUGGGUUAUUGAGAAGAUCAGCUAAAAAGACCUUGGAAAAUGCCACAGACAUCACCUCUCCCAGCUGCGUCUCUCUUUCUUCUGCUUCUCCUGUUUGUCCCUGGCCAGAGUGGUGAAGAAAAUGCAUUUCUUGAACAGUCAACAGACGUGGUUUAUUAAAAGAAACGGCCGUCACGUCAGGCUGGAUGGGAAGACAACCAUUGUAGUGGUGAAAGCUGCUGUGGUUCCACCUGUUAAGUUAGGAAUUAAUAAACAUGGAGCUGGAAUUGUUGAACAGUUGCCACGCAUUGUCGAUAUUCAACAAGGCCAGUCUAUCAGCAUUACCUGUGCAUUGAAUAGUUCAUAUGAAGAUGAAGAGAUCUGCUUGCUCAAGAUUCACAUGCAACCUGAAGGAGUGCUACGUGUUUCAAGUCAGAAAGCUCUAGAAAUCUUUCCUGCUUUUGCUAAUCGCUUGGAGUAUUCAAAGCAAGAGAAGAAACUAGUGAUAACUCUACACAACCUACAGCAAAGUGACAGUGACGUGUAUGUAUGUGCUACGGUGCUGAAAAAUUCCUCUCUCUUCUCAGUGAGUCAAAGAGGCACCAUGGUGCUGGUUAAAGGAGGGGAGGAGACAGCAUUCCAUAAUAGUUCCUGGGCCUACUAUGUUCUUAUCAUCAUGGCAGUGCUGCUGUUUUCUGUGCUGACGUGCUACGCCCUGUACUUUGUCCAUACGAAGAAAUAUUUCCAGAAAAGAAAAACAAAUACAGUGUAUGAAGAUAUGUCUUAUGGUUCUAGACGCAACACCUUCAUCAAACCUAACGUUUACACCAGCGACUCUUAAGCUUCUGUUGGCUGGGACCGUGUAUGGAUCAACUGUUCCCUUCCAGGUGCCUCUGAGAGCCGCCUUGGCAACUUGAUGUAGUAGCUGAACUGAAAAUGCUAUCGUCUACCUUCUUUAGUCGCAGGAAAAAUCUGCCUUAUUUCCAAAGCUGUUUUUACUUAUUUUGGUCACUUGUGAAAUAGCUUUUACUUUUCCAUGUUCAGAACAUGCAUGUACCCUGCACAUUUGUUUGCAGUGUAGUAUGGAAAGCAGUAUUUUUGGAGUGUACAUUUGGCUAGAUGCAAUAUAUGGGAUUGUUUCUGUGAUGAUAGAUAACCCUUUCAGGGAAGGUGAGAUAGUUUGAGAGGUCUCAUUUUGAACUUUCAUAAGGAAGACCAUAACAGGCUUGUUUAAUAAUUUGCAAUGGAUCCACGUAUGAAUGGAGUACAGUUUUCAAAAGAAUCUGUAUGGGGUCUACCCAAAAGCUCUAGUAGCUAAAAUUACUCACAAGUUAAAGCAACAAAAUCUCUUCUGAAGAGAAUUCAGAAACUUUGUGACAAGAGUGCAUUAGAAGUGAGGUGUUAGAUAUGUGUGGGUUUAACUAUUCAAAGAUCAGAACGGUCCCACAAAAAUGCAACCAAGUGUAGAUAUUAAAUUAUUGACCUUGCUGUGCCAAGUCUGCUGCUCAGGAGAGGUCAUUUCCCUUCAAAUGACAGUUGUGAAACCCUGCGUACCAGACUUGAGGGGGAAAUCUGCUCAACCAAAUGGCUGGCAGUUCUGGAUUUCCCUUGUAGCAGAGGGGUGUCUGUUGACUGCAGAACCUGCAAUCAUCGCAUAGUUUUACAUGAAUAAACCAAUGCAGUCUGAUUGUGGAAACUGAUUA